rnacentral:rRNA from 1 species
AUUGAACGCUGGCGGCAGGCUUAACACAUGCAAGUCGAGCGGAGAGAGGUAGCUUGCUACUGAUCUUAGCGGCGGACGGGUGAGUAAUGCUUAGGAAUCUGCCUAUUAGUGGGGGACAACAUUUCGAAAGGAAUGCUAAUACCGCAUACGUCCUACGGGAGAAAGCAGGGGAUCUUCGGACCUUGCGCUAAUAGAUGAGCCUAAGUCGGAGUAGCUAGUUGGUGGGGUAAAGGCCUACCAAGGCGACGAUCUGUAGCGGGUCUGAGAGGAUGGUCCGCCACACUGGGACUGAGACACGGCCCAGACUCCUACGGGAGGCAGCAGUGGGGAAUAUUGGACAAUGGGCGCAAGCCUGAUCCAGCCAUGCCGCGUGUGUGAAGAAGGCCUUAUGGUUGUAAAGCACUUUAAGCGAGGAGGAGGCUACUUUAGUUAAUACCUAGAGAUAGUGGACGUUACUCGCAGAAUAAGCACCGGCUAACUCUGUGCCAGCAGCCGCCGUAAAAC